UACGGGGGGGGGCAAGCGUUGUUCGGAAUUACUGGGCGUAAAGGGCUCGUAGGUGGCCAACUAAGUCAGACGUGAAAUCCCUCGGCUUAACCGGGGAACUGCGUCUGAUACUGGAUGGCUUGAGUUUGGGAGAGGGAUGCGGAAUUCCAGGUGUAGCGGUGAAAUGCGUAGAUAUCUGGAGGAACACCGGUGGCGAAGGCGGCAUCCUGGACCAACACUGACACUGAGGAGCGAAAGCCAGGGGAGCAAACGGGG
rnacentral:rRNA from 1 species